rnacentral:rRNA from 1 species
UACGAAGGGGGCUAGCGUUGUUCGGAAUCACUGGGCGUAAAGGGCGCGUAGGCGGCGCGACAAGUCAGGCGUGAAAGCCCCGGGCUCAACCCGGGAAUUGCGCUUGAUACUGUCGUGCUUGAGGCCGGGAGAGGUGAGUGGAACUGCGAGUGUAGAGGUGAAAUUCGUAGAUAUUCGCAAGAACACCAGUGGCGAAGGCGGCUCACUGGCCCGGUACUGACGCUGAGGUGCGAAAGCGUGGGGAGCAAACAGG